rnacentral:rRNA from 1 species
GAUGAACGCUGGCGGCGUGCCUAAUACAUGCAAGUCGAGCGGUAAGGCUCCUGCAGUUUAUUUGAUUAUGAUUGCGCUCGCAGAGUAAACCAGUUUACUGGUGUGCGAAGCGAAGGCAAUCACAACAGACCCAAUCAACCCCGGCUAGGGAAGAGACGGCGAGGGAAAAUCGAAUGAAGUGCUGGAGUACACGAGCGGCGGACGGCUGAGUAACGCGUAGGAACGUACCCCAAACUGAGGGAUAAGCACCAGAAAUGGUGUCUAAUACCGCAUGUGCUCUAAGGAGUAAAGCUUCGGCGGUUUGGGAACGGCCUGCGUACGAUUAGAUUGUUGGUGAGGUAAUGGCUCACCAAGUCGACGAUCGUUAGCUGGUCUGAGAGGAUGAUCAGCCAGACUGGGACUGAGAACGGCCCAGACUCCUACGGGAGGCAGCAGUAGGGAAUUUUCCACAAUGGACGAAAGUCUGAUGGAGCAACGCCG